rnacentral:rRNA from 1 species
CCUACGGGUGGCAGCAGUGAGGAAUAUUGGUCAAUGGACGAGAGUCUGAACCAGCCAAGUAGCGUGAAGGAUGACUGCCCUAUGGGUUGUAAACUUCUUUUAUAUGGGAAUAAAAUGUUCCACGUGUGGGAUUUUGUAUGUACCAUAUGAAUAAGGAUCGGCUAAAUCCGUGCCAGCAGCCGCGGUAAUACGGAGGAUCCGAGCGUUAUCCGGAUUUAUUGGGUGUAAAGGGAGCGUAGGUGGAUUGUUAAGUCAGUUGUGAAAGUUUGCGGCUCAACCGUAAAAUUGCAGUUGAAACUGGCAGUCUGGAGUGCAGUAGAGGUGAGCGGAAUUCGUGGUGUAGCGGUGAAAUGCUUAGAUAUCACGAAGAACUCCGGUUGCGAAGGCAAUUCACUGGACUGCAACUGACACUGAGGCUCGAAAGUGUGGGUAUCAAACAGGAUUAGAUACCCUUGUAGUC